rnacentral:tRNA from 1 species
GCGGAUAUAGCUCAGUUGGUAGAGCGUCGUACUUCCACUUCGAAUGUCGCGUGUUCGAAUCACGUUAUCCGC